rnacentral:rRNA from 1 species
UACAGAGGAUGCAAGCGUUGUUCGGAAUUAUUGGGCGUAAAGGGAGUGUAGGCGGUUUGAUAAGUCUUCUGUGAAAUCUACGGGCUUAGCCUGUAACGUGCAGAGGAAACUGUCAGACUUGAGUGUCGGAGAGGAUAGGGGAAUACCCAGUGUAGAGGUGAAAUUCGUAGAUAUCUGGAAGAACACCAAAGGCGAAGGCAGUGUCCUGGGUGGUCGCUGACGCUGAGAGGCGAAAGCCAGGGGAGCGAACGGG